rnacentral:rRNA from 1 species
CAAGCUAACGCUUGAAUACAUUAGCAUGGAAUAAUGAAAUAGGACGUUCGAUCCUAUUUUGUUGGUUUCUAGGAUUGACGUAAUGAUUAAUAGGGAUAUUGGGGGCAUUAGUAUUCAAUUGUCAGAGGUGAAAUUCUUUGGAUUUAUUGAAGACUUACUACUGCGAAAAGCAUUUGCCCAAGGAUGUUUUCAUUAAUCAAGAACGAAAGUUAGGGGAUCGAAGACGAUCAGAUACCGUCGUAGUCUUAACCAUAAACUAUGCCGACUAGGGAUCGGAUGAUGUUAAUUUUUUAAUGACUCAUUCGGCGCCUUACG